AAGAUACUCCCUCCGUUCCUAAAUUCUCGUCAAAAUAUUACAUGUAUCUAGACGCUUUUUGGAAUAUAUACAUCCAUUUUUGGGCAAAUUUGAGACAAGAAUUUAGGAACGGAGGGAGUACUUA
rfam:Brachypodium distachyon strain Bd21 chromosome 1, whole genome shotgun sequence.